rnacentral:lncRNA from 1 species
GUUAUUCUGUGCAACAGAUGCUCAGACAAUAAUUUCUUACUUAGAAAAGUCAUUGUUGCUUUAGAUACACUGAGAUUGUUCCUCAUUGUUUUACAUGUUGCAGAAGGGAAGCAAGCAUUUAUUACCUGUCAGAGCAAUGGGAAAUGACCCUUAACAUUCUGUCUGGGGAGAAUAAAGUAUUUUCACAAAGCUUUCACUUCAUAAAGCAUGUCUUCCAUAACCGAAAAGGCUUUGGGUCAGAAUUCAACAAAAUAAGAAUGAUAAAAAGUUGAUUAUAAAGCAAAUACAGAAGUUUACGUGAACAAAGCUAAAGUCUUCUUUUAUCCACAGCAGAAAAGUGAAAGGAAAAUCAAAAGUGUUUGUGUACUGUGGUACUCACUUGUGAUUCCAUCCUCAGGCAACCUCAACUCAACCUCUGGUUCUUGUCCUUUCCUCUAUUAUCUAACAGUACCUUUGAGAGGCAAGGGGCUGGGAUUUUAUGCCUACUUAAAAAAGAGGAGCAGAAAUGAAGAGCAGCUUGAAGAAAGUGCAUCUUUUUCACAUUUAUACUUGAAUUGACAGUUCUUAUGUAUAGUAUGUACUUAAGCAACUGAGUCAAAGUAAAAAUCUCAUUAUAACACUCAGGAGCACUCUUUUGUUUAAAAAAAAUUUUGAAGUAUCAGAAUUCAGCAAAUUCAGUUAGAAUCAGUAAAACCAGGCAUUUUAUUUAAGGUAUUAUUAAAACAAGGCAGUAAAUAAUGCUGUCUUCUUCCUAAUGGCAGUCUGAGACAAGAAUUAUACAUGGAAUUAUGCAUUUUAGAUACUGUGUUUCAUAUUAAUGUAUUGGUUUUAUAAUCAAACAAUUUUUUAUGCAAUGAAUGCAUAUAUAUCUUGAAAAACUUUUUGAGUUUGACUCUUUUUAUACAACUACAGACUGGUAAAAUGCAGCAGUGAUACAAGGGGAAGGAUUACUCGUUGCUCUUUUGUUAUUUUUCUAUUACAUUUAAAAAAUAUAACAUAGAUAAAUACCUUUGUC